rnacentral:rRNA from 1 species
AUUGAACGCUGGCGGCAUGCCUUACACAUGCAAGUCGAACGGUAACAGGUCUUCGGAUGCUGACGAGUGGCGAACGGGUGAGUAAUACAUCGGAACGUGCCUAGUAGUGGGGGAUAACUACUCGAAAGAGUGGCUAAUACCGCAUGAGAUCUACGGAUGAAAGCAGGGGAUCGCAAGACCUUGUGCUACUAGAGCGGCCGAUGGCAGAUUAGGUAGUUGGUGGGAUAAAAGUUUACCAAGCCGACGAUCUGUAGCUGGUCUGAGAGGAAGAUCAGCCACACUGGGACUGAGACACGGCCCAGACUCCUACGGGAGGCAGCAGUGGGGAAUUUUGGACAAUGGGCGAAAGCCUGAUCCAGCAAUGCCGCGUGCAGGAUGAAGGCCUUCGGGUUGUAAACUGCUUUUGUACGGAACGAAAAGCCCUGGGUUAAUACCCUGAGGUCAUGACGGUACCGUAAGAAUAAGCACCGGCUAACUACGUGCCAGCCGCCGCAGUAACAC